AUUGAACGCUGGCGGCAGGCUUAACACAUGCAAGUCGAGCGAGCGGCGGACGGGUGAGUAAUGUCUGGGAAACUGCCUGAUGGAGGGGGAUAACUACUGGAAACGGUAGCUAAUACCGCAUACCAUCAUAUGUUCCCAGAUGGGAUUAGCUAGUAGGUGGGGUAAUGGCUCACCUGGGCGCCGAUCCCUAGCUGGUCUGCGAGGAUGACCAGCAACACUGGAACGGAUACACGGUCCAGACUCCUACGGGAGGCAGCAGUGGGGAAUAUUGCACAAUGGGCGCAAGCCUGAGGCAGCCAUGCCGCGUGUGUGAAGAAGGCCUUCGGGUUGUAAAGCACUUUCAGCGAGGAGGCGUUACUCGAAGAAGAAGCACCGGCUAACUCCGUGCCAGCCGCCGCGGUAAUUC
rnacentral:rRNA from 1 species